rnacentral:lncRNA from 1 species
UAUGAUUUUUAUACAAAUUACGAACAUAAGUAGGACGUUUUGAAUUUUAGAUGAAAAAAAAAGUAAAAAAAAAAAAAAAAAAAAAAAAAAAAAAAAAAAAAAAAAUUGGGCUAGGCGCCGUCUAGGCGGGCUAGGCGGCCGCCUAGGCGGUCCAGGCGGGCAAAAAAUCGGAUCUCCGAUUUUUCUCACCGAUUUGGACAAAAUCGCCGCGGUGCUCCUCCGAUCAGCGCCUAGGCGGCCGCC